rnacentral:rRNA from 1 species
UGCCCUACAGUCCCCCGUCCGGGAACAAGGAACUGGUAUCAGGCACAUUCAUCGGGCCCAUGACACCUUGCUUAGCCACACCCUCAAGGGAACUCAGCAGUGAUAAACAUUAAGCUAUAAGUGAAAACUUGACUUAAUUAAAACUAAGAGGGCCGGUAAAACUCGUGCCAGCCACCGCGGUUAUACGAGAGGCCCAAGUUGACAGAUACCGGCGUAAAGAGUGGUUAAGUUGAAACUUAAACUAAAGCCAAACAUCUUCAAGACUGUUAUACGUACCCGAAGGCAGGAAACUCAACCACGAAAGUAACUUUAUUUAAUCUGACCCCACGAAAGCUACGGCACAAACUGGGAUUAGAUACCCCACUAUGCCUAGCCCUAAACAUUAACAGUAUAAUACACCCCCUGUCCGCCAGGGUACUACGAGCAACAGCUUAAAACCCAAAGGACUUGGCGGUGCUUUAGACCCACCUAGAGGAGCCUGUUCUAGAACCGAUAGCCCCCGUUCAACCUCACCCUUCCUUGUUUUCCCCGCCUAUAUACCGCCGUCGUCAGCUUACCCUAUGAAGGACAAAUAGUAAGCAAAAUUGGUACAGCCUUAAACGUCAGGUCGAGGUGUAGCGUAUGGAGGGGGAAGAAAUGGGCUACAUUCGCUACCAUAGCGAAUACGAAAGACGCACUGAAACGUCCGUCUGAAGGAGGAUUUAGCAGUAAGCAG